UCCCGAAUGGUGUAGUGGCUAACAUUGCCGCCUCUCAUUCAUAACUGGUUCGCGGCAGCCCGGGGUUCAAUUCCCCGUUCGGGAA